AGGCCUUGACAUGCAGAGAACUUUCCAGAGAUGGAUUGGUGCCUUCGGGAACUCUGACACAGGUGCUGCAUGGCUGUCGUCAGCUCGUGUCGUGAGAUGUUGGGUUAAGUCCGUAACGAGCGCAACCCUUGUCCUUAGUUACCAGCACGUUAUGGUGGGCACUCUAAGGAGACUGCCGGUGACAAACCGGAGGAAGGUGGGGAGUGACGUCAAGUCAUCAUGGCCCUUACGGCCUGGGCUACACACGUGCUACAAUGGUCGGUACAAAGGGUUGCCAAGCCGCGAGGUGGAGCUAAUCCCAUAAAACCGAUCGUAGUCCGGAUCGCAGUCCGCAACUCGACUGCGUGAAGUCGGAAUCGCUAGUAAUCGUGAAUCAGAAUGUCACGGUGAAUACGUUCCCGGGCCUU
rnacentral:rRNA from 1 species